rnacentral:rRNA from 1 species
CCUACGGGAGGCAGCAGUGGGGAAUCUUGCGCAAUGGGGGAAACCCUGACGCAGCAACGCCGCGUGGGUGAUGAAGGCCUUCGGGUCGUAAAGCCCUGUCAGGUGGGAAGAAACUUGUGGAUGUUAAUACCAUCCAUGCUUGACGGUACCGCCGGAGGAAGCACCGGCUAACUCCGUGCCAGCAGCCGCGGUAAUACGGAGGGUGCAAGCGUUGUUCGGAAUUACUGGGCGUAAAGCGCGUGUAGGCGGCCUUGCAAGCCAGACGUGAAAGCCCUCGGCUUAACCGGGGAAGUGCGUCUGGAACUGCUUGGCUUGAGUACGGGAGAGGGAGGCGGAAUUCCCAGUGUAGAGGUGAAAUUCGUAGAUAUUGGGAGGAACACCGGUGGCGAAAGCGGCCUCCUGGACCGAUACUGACGCUGAGACGCGAAAGCGUGGGGAGCAAACAGGAUUAGAUACCCUGGUAGUCCACGCGGUAAACGAUGGGCACUAGGUGUGGGGGGUAUCCACUCCUCCCGUGCCGAAGCUAACGCAUUAAGUGCCCCGCCUGGGGGAGUACGGCCGCAAGGUUAAAACUCAAAGGAAUUGACGG